UACGUAUGGUGCAAGCGUUAUCCGGAUUUACUGGGUGUAAAGGGAGUGUAGGUGGCAGCACAAGUCAGAAGUGAAAGCCCGGGGCUCAACCCCGGGACUGCUUUUGAAACUGUGCAGCUGGAGUGCAGGAGAGGUAAGUGGAAUUCCUAGUGUAGCGGUGAAAUGCGUAGAUAUUAGGAGGAACACCGGUGGCGAAGGCGGCUUACUGGACUGUAACUGACACUGAGGCUCGAAAGCGUGGGGAGCAAAC
rnacentral:rRNA from 1 species